GGAAGUGAUUGGAGGGCAAGUCCUUGAAUUCUCUAACUAAAUUUAAAGACUUGAAAACUGCCGACGGUGUGAGCCGUUCGUGAGUUCGAAUCUCACCGCUUCCGCCA
rnacentral:tRNA from 1 species